AUUGAACGCUGGCGGCAGGCCUAACACAUGCAAGUCGAGCGGGGUUUUCGGACCUAGCGGCGGACGGGUGAGUAAUGCGUAGGAAGCUACCCGACAGAGGGGGAUACCAGUUGGAAACGACUGUUAAUACCCGCAUAAUGUCUACGGACCAAAGUGUGGGACCUUCGGGCCACAUGCUGUCGGAUGCGCCUACGUGGGAUUAGCUAGUUGGUGAGGUAAUGGCUCACCAAGGCGACGAUCCCUAGCUGGUUUGAGAGGAUGAUCAGCCACACUGGAACUGAGACACGGUCCAGACUCCCUACGGGAGGCAGCAGGUGGGAAUAUUGGACAAUGGGCGCAAGGCCUGAUCC
rnacentral:rRNA from 1 species